rnacentral:rRNA from 1 species
UAGAUACCCUGGUAGUCCACGCCGUAAACGAUGAGUGCUAAGUGUUAGAGGGUUUCCGCCCUUUAGUGCUGAAGUUAACGCAUUAAGCACUCCGCCUGGGGAGUACGGUCGCAAGACUGAAACUCAAAGGAAUUGACGGGGGCCCGCACAAGCGGUGGAGCAUGUGGUUUAAUUCGAAGCAACGCGAAGAACCUUACCAGGUCUUGACAUCCUCUGACACUCCUAGAGAUAGGACGUUCUUCGGGGACAG